AAAGGGUUACUCUUGUCAGGGUUCAGUUUACAUGGACGUGUCCCAAGGUGUUCUGGAGCAGUGAAUACAUGUCAAUCAGUGCUUCUAAGGAAAGCAUUUAUUGGAAUAGACUCAGGUCUAUAGGCUGUGAUGUCCAAGAUGCUUCAUUCUAUGUGUGGUGAAGGACUUCCCUAAAUCCACUGGGUGGUGAUGGAGAGAUGAUAUAAGGGGAGGUUAAUUGUGAAGAUGGAAGAAGAGGAACGGGAAUAGCAGGAGAGCCCCCGGGACACAGACACCAUAACGGGAGAACCACAAGGCGGAGCCUCUGCAACACUUGAUUUCACACUCUAGCGAAGAGAAGCAAGUACUUCAAUCUGCUUCAUUGCCCCAUCUUGCCAGAGCAUUAAAUGCUUCACAGAAUGAAAACAGAAAAACCACAAAUUGGCAUUUUUGGAAACCACUGAAGUGAACUUUGCCUCCCAUAGAGAUGUGGAGGGAACUGGGAAGGAUUCACUGAUUAAACGGACCUGUAGUCAGAUGUUUGAAGCCGCUUCUACUCUCAGCUUGCCUGGGAAGAUGAAGAAAGCAAGAAACAGCUACCUAGUACUCAACUCCCACAGAGAACACACAAAGGAAAAGCUUGUCAUGUGGAUUUCUCCUCCAUCAAAAGAAACGUUUUCUGUCAUCCAAGGAGUAAAAUUGAACCUUGUCUUUUUUCCCUUUGCAAAAUAAACUGACUUGUUAGUCUGCAACCAUACAAUUAG
rnacentral:lncRNA from 1 species